rnacentral:lncRNA from 1 species
ACCUUUUGAUGCAUACAGUUCAUAAAAAAUUCUAUAAGCAAAAAAGAAUUUAUGUAUCGAUUUUAAUCUUUCUCUUUUUCUAAUGGAUUUCUUCAAACUAAAAAAAGAAGAAGAAUAUACUUAAUUUAGUGAACUAUCUUCUCAUUGAUGUAUUGCUUUUAUCGAGAUCGAAGCCGAAUCACAAUGUCAUUGUUAAACUCGCUUUUAGUCGCAUCAAAGCCAACAAACUUGAUUUCC